rnacentral:piRNA from 2 species
UCCCCCCUUCUCACUACUGCACUUGACUAG